UGAGGCUUCUGCCCUUCGCGAUGAGCUUGACAUGCUACAAGAAGAAAAUGAUGUCAUCAUUGAUAAGCUUAGACGCGCUAAAGAAAGACGUGAGGAGGCAGAGGCAAGAGCUAGGGAGCUUGAGAAACAUGUCAAUUAUAAGAGUUAGUCAUUAUUACUGUUGUUAUUCUGAGUUGAAAUUAGGUUACCUCUAUUUGUAAGUUUGGGUUUUACAUUUAUUGCUCAGGAAUUUUAUGAAUUUUCCUCCUUGUUUGAUAGAACAUGGACAGGGCAACCUAAAUGAUAGAAAACUUAUUUUCCCCACCACUUCCCCACUAUAAAAGAAUUGGCGCUAGAAAAU